rnacentral:rRNA from 1 species
UACAGAGGGUGCGAGCGUUGUCCGGAAUCACUGGGCGUAAAGGGCGCGUAGGCGGCCCGGUAAGGUUGCGGUGAAAGCCCGGGGCUCAACCCCGGGUCGGCCGUGGCAACUGCUGGGCUGGAGCACAGUAGAGGCGGGUGGAAUUCCGGGUGUAGCGGUGGAAUGCGUAGAGAUCGGAAGGAACGCCCGUGGCGAAAGCGAGGUCCUGGACGUCUGCUGACGCUGAGACGCGAAAGCCAGGGGAGCGAACGGG